UACGACUCUCGGCAACGGAUAUCUCGGCUCUCGCAUCGAUGAAGAACGUAGCGAAAUGCGAUACUUGGUGUGAAUUGCAGAAUCCCGUGAACCAUCGAGUCUUUGACGCAAGUUGCGCCCGAAGCCGUUAGGCCGAGGGCACGUCUGCCUGGGCGUCACGC
rnacentral:rRNA from 1 species